UCUGGCGUCAGGAUGAACGCUGGCGGCGUGCUAAUACAUGCAAGUCGAACGAAGCACUUAUGACAGAUCCCCUCGGGGUGAAGACGUUGUGACUGAGUGGCGGACGGGUGAGUAACGCGUGGGUAACCUGCCUAUGCAGGGGGACAACAGUUGGAAACGACUGCUAAUACCGCAUAAGCGCACGGCACCGCAUGGUGCAGUGUGAAAAGAUUUAUCGGCAUAAGAUGGACCCGCGUCUGAUUAGGUAGUUGGUGAGGUAACGGCCCACCAAGCCGACGAUCAGUAGCCGACUUGAGAGAGUGAUCGGCCACAUUGGGACUGAGACACGGCCCAGACUCCUACGGGAGGCAGCAGUAGGGAAUAUUGCACAAUGGGGGAAACCCUGAUGCAAGCGACGCCGCGUGAGUGAUGAAGUAUUUCGGUACGUAAAGCUCUAUCAGCAGGGAAGAUAAUGACGGUACCUGACUAAGAAGCCCCGGCUAACUACGUGCCAGCCGCCGC
rnacentral:rRNA from 1 species